rnacentral:rRNA from 1 species
AUUGAACGCUAGCGGGAUGCUUUACACAUGCAAGUCGAACGGCAGCGCGGACUUCGGUCUGGCGGCGAGUGGCGAACGGGUGAGUAAUGUAUCGGAACGUGCCCAGUAGCGGGGGAUAACUACGCGAAAGCGUAGCUAAUACCGCAUACGCCCUACGGGGGAAAGCAGGGGAUCGUAAGACCUUGCACUAUUGGAGCGGCCGAUAUCGGAUUAGCUAGGUGGUGAGGUAACGGCUCACCAAGGCGACGAUCCGUAGCUGGUUUGAGAGGACGACCAGCCACACUGGGACUGAGACACGGCCCAGACUCCUACGGGAGGCAGCAGUGGGGAAUUUUGGACAAUGGGGGCAACCCUGAUCCAGCCAUCCCGCGUGUGCGAUGAAGGCCUUCGGGUUGUAAAGCACUUUUGGCAGGAAAGAAACGUCGCGGGCUAAUACCCCGUGGAACUGACGGUACCUGCAGAAUAAGCACCGGCUAACUACGUG